AUAACAUCAAGUGUUUUAAACCUCUAACAUUUAACAGGCAUCCCAAAAUCAAGCUUCAAAUUUCAAAAUUGUCUUUCCUGAUGCCUGGCUUUCUGGAUUGUUCAGAGGGCCCCUGAAACAUCCAGAGAAGAGGUUUUUAACAGCUUUGAAGAUUGUAACAUUGGAAGAGAGAAAGAACGUACAGGACUCAUGAACUGAAAUGUUCACAAAUAUCAAGCAAAACAAGAAUUGACUAAAUGGACUACACUCAGAAAGCUAAAGCAAUCUUUUUGACUUUUGCUUGGAAUAUUGCUGAUCCUUGGUUUGUUUUUCAGAGUCAAGGAAACUUAUUUUGAACUAUUUACAGCCUUUAAUAAUUGAGUAAGGUAUACUCCUGUGAACAAAACUUGAAGCAUGUUUGUUUCUCUCUGCCUGGUUCCUCUAAUCUGUGAGAACUCUUAACUUAUGGCAAUAUAGUUGUUUGCAUCAGUGAAAUAAGAAUCCAUUUUUCAACAGGACACAAAUGGAAAAACUGGUUAUUUUAUCAAGGCUUUGACUGGAAGUGUAUGCUUCCCUUUAAGGAGUCAACCUCCACUUGCAGAGCUGAAAAAGCCCCAUGCGAAGAACUGGCCUCAUACCUUGUCUACACAGUCCCCGCACAGGGUUCCUAACCUUUGGUCAGUAAAGAAUGUCACUUUCUAACAGGUCCAGGAGCUCCAAGUUUAUCUUGGGACCUUAAGAGAAAAGGAUCACCCAACUCACAGGUAUUUGAAGAUACAAACCCAUGCUGGGCUCAGCUUUAAGAAGUCUUAUCUGAGAUUUCUUGUGGAACAGAGUUCCAUCGAAGCCAAUCCAAAAGGACUAUGCAGAAAUAAUUACUCUUGCUGAACUUUAUGCAAAUAACAAGGCCAAAUAUAAGACUAAAGUUUAUUCUACAAACAACACGGUCCUAUCAUAAUUUGUUUUUACCAAAAUCAGGACUAGAGAGAGAAAAUAUGCUCCAAAGCUUAUCAUACAUUUGUCAUUAAAUCCUAGUCACAUUAA